rnacentral:rRNA from 1 species
CCUACGGGUGGCUGCAGUGGGGAGUAUUGGACAAUGGGGGGAACCCUGAUCCAGCCAUGCCGCGUGUGUGAAGAAGGCCCUCGGGUUGUAAAGCACUUUCAGUGAGGAAGAACGCCUGGUGGUUAAUACCCAUCAGGAAAGACAUCACUCACAGAAGAAGCACCGGCUAACUCCGUGCCAGCAGCCGCGGUAAUACGGAGGGUGCGAGCGUUAAUCGGAAUUACUGGGCGUAAAGCGCGCGUAGGUGGCUUGAUAAGCCGGUUGUGAAAGCCCCGGGCUCAACCUGGGAACGGCAUCCGGAACUGUCAAGCUAGAGUGCAGGAGAGGAAGGUAGAAUUCCCGGUGUAGCGGUGAAAUGCGUAGAGAUCGGGAGGAAUACCAGUGGCGAAGGCGGCCUUCUGGACUGACACUGACACUGAGGUGCGAAAGCGUGGGUAGCAAACAGGAUUAGAUACCCUAGUAGUC